ACCCUUUUAGCUCAAUGGUGAAGCGUUAGCUUUUAGAGCCACAGGUCAGUGGAUCGAACCCACGAGGGCACA